AAAGGCAACGAAACCCCGAGGUCCAACCAAUCCCAUAAAGUUGUUCUCAGUUCGGAUUGUAGUCUGCAACUCGACUACAUGAAGCUGGAAUCGCUAGUAAUCGUAGAUCAGCAUGCUACGGUGAAUACGUUCCCGGGUCUUGUACACACCGCCCGUCACACCACGAGAGUUUGUAACACCCGAAGCCGGCGGAGUAGUC
rnacentral:rRNA from 1 species